UACGUAGGUCCCGAGCGUUGUCCGGAUUUAUUGGGCGUAAAGCGAGCGCAGGUGGUUUAAUAAGUCUGAUGUAAAAGGCAGUGGCUCAACCAUUGUGUGCAUUGGAAACUGUUAGACUUGAGUGCGGUAGAGGAGAGUGGAAUUCCAUGUGUAGCGGUGAAAUGCGUAGAUAUAUGGAGGAACACCGGUGGCGAAAGCGGCUCUCUGGACUGUAACUGACACUGAGGCUCGAAAGCGUGGGUAGCAAACAGG
rnacentral:rRNA from 1 species